rnacentral:rRNA from 1 species
CAGCCGCCACGGUAAUACGGAGGGGGCUAGCGUUGUUCGGAAUUACUGGGCGUAAAGCGCACGUAGGCGGUUUUGUAAGUCAGAGGUGAAAGCCCGGAGCUCAACUCCGGAACUGCCUUUGAGACUGCAUCACUUGAACGUCGGAGAGGUGAGUGGAAUUCCGAGUGUAGAGGUGAAAUUCGUAGAUAUUCGGAAGAACACCAGUGGCGAAGGCGGCUCACUGGACGACUGUUGACGCUGAGGUGCGAAAGCGUGGGGAGCAAACAGGAUUAGAUACCCCCGUAGUCCCUGUCUCUUAUAC